rnacentral:misc_RNA from 1 species
UACGUAGGGGGCAAGCGUUGUCCGGAAUUAUUGGGCGUAAAGCGCGCGCAGGCGGCCGCUUAAGUCUGGUGUUUAAGCCCAGGGCUCAACCCUGGUUCGCACUGGAAACUGGGUGGCUUGAGUGCAGGAGAGGUGAGUGGAAUUCCACGUGUAGCGGUGAAAUGCGUAGAGAUGUGGAGGAACACCAGUGGCGAAGGCGACUCUCUGGCCUGUAACUGACGCUGAGGCGCGAAAGCGUGGGGAGCAAACAGG